rnacentral:rRNA from 1 species
GACGAACGCUGGCGGCGUGCUUAACACAUGCAAGUCGAACGGAAAGGCCCUGCUUUUGUGGGGUGCUCGAGUGGCGAACGGGUGAGUAACACGUGAGUAACCUGCCCUUGUCUUUGGGAUAACAUCAGGAAACUGGGGCUAAUACCGGAUAGGAGCUCCUGCUGCAUGGUGGGGGUUGGAAAGUUUCGGCGGUUGGGGAUGGACUCGAGGCUUAUCAGCUUGUUGGUGGGGUAGUGGCUUACCAAGGCUUUGACGGGUAGCCGGCCUGAGAGGGUGACCGGCCACAUUGGGACUGAGAUACGGCCCAGACUCCUACGGGAGGCAGCAGUGGGGAAUAUUGCACAAUGGGCGGAAGCCUGAUGCAGCAACGCCGCGUGCGGGAUGACGGCCUUCGGGUUGUAAACCGCUUUCGCCUGUGACGAAGCGUGAGUGACGGUAAUUGGUAAAGAAGCACCGGCUAACUACGUG